AUGAACGCUGGCGGCGUGCCUAAUACAUGCAAGUCGAGCGAACGGACGAGAAGCUUUCUUCUCUGAUGUUAUCGGCGGACUGGUUAGUAACACGUUGAUAACCUACCUAUAAUACUGGGAUAACUUCGGGAAACCGGAGCUAAUACCGGAUAAUAUUUUUAACCGCAUUGUUCAAAAGUUAAAUACGGUCUUGCUGUCACUUAUAGAUUGAUCCGCGCUUCAUUAGCUAGUUGGUAAGGUAACGGCUUACCAAGGCAACGAUGCAUAGCCGACCUGAGAGGGUGAUCGGCCACACUGGAACUGAGACACGGACCAGACUACUACGGGAGGCAGCAGUAGGGAAUAGUACGCAAUGGGCGAAAGCAUGACGGAGCAACGCCGCGUGAGUGAUGAAGGUCUUCGGAUCGUAAAACUCUGUUAUUAGGGAAGAAAAUAUGUGUAAGUAAAUGUGCACAUCUUGACGGUACCUAAUCAGAAAGCAACGGCUAACUACGUG
rnacentral:rRNA from 1 species